GUAUACACUUGCCAGAGUAAGUGCAGUCUCAAACCAUUGCCCAGCACCCUACCCAUGGGUUGUGAGCACUAAACGGGGCACAGUU
rnacentral:snoRNA from 1 species